CCUACGGGAGGCAGCAGUGAGGAAUAUUGGUCAAUGGACGAGAGUCUGAACCAGCCAAGUAGCGUGAAGGAUGACUGCCCUAUGGGUUGUAAACUUCUUUUAUAUGGGAAUAAAACGUUCCACGUGUGGGAUUUUGUAUGUACCAUAUGAAUAAGGAUCGGCUAACUCCGGGCCAGCAGCCGCGGUAAUACGGAGGAUCCGAGCGUUAUCCGGAUUUAUUGGGUUUAAAGGGAGCGUAGGUGGAUUGUUAAGUCAGUUGUGAAAGUUUGCGGCUCAACCGUAAAAUUGCAGUUGAAACUGGCAGUCUUGAGUACAGUAGAGGUGGGCGGAAUUCGUGGUGUAGCGGUGAAAUGCUUAGAUAUCACGAAGAACUCCGAUUGCGAAGGCAGUUCACUGGACUGCAACUGACACUGAGGCUCGAAAGUGUGGGUAUCAAACAGGAUUAGAUACCCCGGUAGUC
rnacentral:rRNA from 1 species